GAGUUUGAUCAUGGCUCAGAACGAACGCUGGCGGCAUGCCUAACACAUGCAAGUCGAACGAGACCUUCGGGUCUAGUGGCGCACGGGUGCGUAACGCGUGGGAAUCUGCCCUUGGGUUCGGAAUAACAGUUAGAAAUGACUGCUAAUACCGGAUGAUGACUUCGGUCCAAAGAUUUAUCGCCCAGGGAUGAGCCCGCGUCGGAUUAGCUAGUUGGUGAGGUAAAGGCUCACCAAGGCGACGAUCCGUAGCUGGUCUGAGAGGAUGAUCAGCCACACUGGGACUGAGACACGGCCCAGACUCCUACGGGAGGCAGCAGUGGGGAAUAUUGGACAAUGGGCGAAAGCCUGAUCCAGCAAUGCCGCGUGAGUGAUGAAGGCCUUAGGGUUGUAAAGCUCUUUUACCCGGGAUGAUAAUGACAGUACCGGGAGAAUAAGCCCCGGCUAACUCCGUGCCAGCCGCCGCGGUAAG
rnacentral:rRNA from 2 species